rnacentral:rRNA from 1 species
UUAUUGGGCGUAAGCGCGCGCAGGUGGUUUCUUAAGUCUGAUGUGAAAGCCCACGGCUCAACCGUGGAGGGUCAUUGGAAACUGGGAGACUUGAGUGCAGAAGAGGAAAGUGGAAUUCCAUGUGUAGCGGUGAAAUGCGUAGAGAUAUGGAGGAACACCAGUGGCGAAGGCGACUUUCUGGUCUGUAACUGACACUGAGGCGCGAAAGCGUGGGGAGCAAACAGGAUUAGAUACCCUGGUAGUCCACGCCGUAAACGAUGAGUGCUAAGUGUUAGAGGGUUUCCGCCCUUUAGUGCUGAAGUUAACGCAUUAAGCACUCCGCCUGGGGAGUACGGCCGCAAGGCUGAAACUCAAAGGAAUUGACGGGGGCCCGCACCUGCGGUGGAGCA